rnacentral:lncRNA from 1 species
AAAAAAAAAGAAAUACCAGGUGAAGCAUAUGCCCUGCAAGCUUAGGGGUGCUGCAGUUGACCACUGCAGCAGUAAAGAUGACUGAAGAAUGGCAUGGGAUGGAUCCUUUCGAAUGCACUUGAGCAGCAGUCUCCCAACCACAGGGCCACAGAGCCAGAGAAUGUAUUUGUCACUUCCAGCUGGAUCUACCAUGAAAGACUUCUGAAUCCAGGAAAAGAGACUGACUGGGUAACAUGUUAUUCAGGAGAUGGGGUCUCACCCUGUCACCCAGGCUUGAGUACAGU